AUGCGUGUGUGUUAAGCCAAGUGUUGGCGUGCGUGUGAAGCUAGCUGUGGCCUACUUGUAACGGAACGAUUGGACGAAGACGGCAUCGAAAAAGUGAAUGAACUACUUUCCCCUCGUCUCGUCUCUCGCUCUCACCUAACCCUCUCGUUCUUCCUCAUCCCGAUCCCCUUCUCCUCUCUUCCCAAAUCCUCUAGAUCGGGGCGUGACAGGGUCAAACCCCAUCGGCGUAUGGCCACGGGCGCGAGGAGCACCGCGGUGGGCGCAUCCGGCGGCGCAGCGGCCGCGUCCAGAGGCAUGGUGACCUCCACGCGCGCCCCUCCCAGCGCCAUGGUGGCCGCGUCCAUCCUUGCGGAUGAGGAUGAGGCGAAGGAAAAAGAAGACGAGGCUCAUCUCACCGGCGGCGAGUCCUCCUUUCCUUCUCACUUUCUCUGUUCUCUUUUCUUCUCCUGGUAGAACAAUUGAUGUGUGCAUGUAUAAAAUCGGAAAGAGAACACCAUUUUUUCUUGCGGCAGUCAGAUCGGUCAUUGAAUCGACGACGCUGACACCCCUUGUUCUUCGUGGGCUUCUUGUGCAAAUCAGAGAAGAAAGAGCGCCUGAUUCUUUGGCGAUCUUGUACUGCAGGACAGCGAGAUGUACAUGUUGGGCGGAGUUGAAGAUCGCCGGAGUUGCUGUCUAGUCCGUGCCGGGAACGGUGUCGUCAGCCUUGAUUUCUUUUCCUUGAGGCCUUUUCGCUCUCGGCGGAGCAAAGUGCAUGAUAACGUGUUAGAAGAAAUCGAGAGACAACAAGAGACAAACAAAAUGAUUCAACUCUCUUCUUUGUUGAUGAUACAAUUACACAAUAUAUAGGUCCCGAAGGGACGUGAUGGCACGGAGGGGACGCAAGUAGCCUCGGUUAGCGAGACCAAAGGAAGGGUCGCGCCAAUCGCCAACAGGCGGUAGUUAGCAAGGGGAGAUUCCCUUCCAAUUAAACAUUUGUUUAAUUGUAACAGGUUUAUGGGAAAAAUCACAUCCGAAUCGGUCGGCGAACCGAUAUAGGCAAUACAAUCCGAAUCGCGCGUUCCGGACAGUUUAAGGGUUGGGCGUUGUAGAUGUCCUUACACCUUUGAUCUGAAUGACAUAGCACAGCCUCACGGAAAUUGGGUUCGGGCGUUCGGCAAUACAUACCAUAGCAGAGCCUAAAGAAACCUUUUAUCUACACGAGGCUCGGCCAACACCAUUUCGGAGUUUUCGGUUUCUUUGAUGAAAUGGGGAGGUACGCUCUUUCUGCCAAAGAAACCAUAUUGAAAUAUCAUCACAAAAAGUCCCCCACAUAUACAGUAAGGUGCAAAUUUAUGAUUAAAAACUUACAUGAUCACUCAACUAAGCAAAACUGCAAGAGCGUGACUCGGGUGUUUAGGCAAAGCCUCACGAAUCCGAAUAGGCUGGACAGACUUUUCCUCUACAUGUACAACUAGGAAACGGGAUUACCCCUGUCCAUUGGGUGUGCAUCUGAGCCCAGGCUCAGAAAUGGAUAUUAGCAUUUGAGUUGACUACUAUGUAAGAUGACAGGUUGUAUUGUCUUCCGAAAUGAAAAACCAUCCUUACAAGGCUAGCCUCGAAGUCAUCUCACUAAGAUUUCCCUUUCUUAGGUGGACACGAGCACAUCCGCUGUCAAGUGGCUCAAAGAGACCCGAAAGAAUUAACAGAAUUUCAAAAAAAAACUUCCAUAUUUGAGCCACAAAAAAUU
rnacentral:lncRNA from 1 species